CGAGAUUCCCCCAGUAGCGGCGAGCGAACGGGGAGGAGCCCAGAGCCUGAAUCAGUGUGUGUGUUAGUGGAAGCGUCUGGAAAGGCGCGCGAUACAGGGUGACAGCCCCGUACACAAAAAUGCACAUAUUGUGAGCUCGAUGAGUAGGGCGGGACACGUGGUAUCCUGUCUGAAUAUGGGGGGACCAUCCUCCAAGGCUAAAUACUCCUGACUGACCGAUAGUGAACCAGUACCGUGAGGGAAAGGCGAAAAGAAC
rnacentral:rRNA from 1 species